rnacentral:rRNA from 1 species
GCUUUUGGUGAGGUGCCUUCCGAGUUCCCUGGAACGGGACGCCAUAGAGGGUGAGAGCCCCGUACGGUUGGACGCCAAACCUUUGUAUAGCUCCUUCAACGAGUCGAGUAGUUUGGGAAUGCUGCUCUAAAUGGGAGGUAUAUCUCUUCUAAAGCUAAAUAUAGGCUAGAGACCGAUAGCGCACAAGUAGAGUGAUCGAAAGAUGAAAAGCACUUUGAAAAGAGAGUUAAACAGCACGUGAAAUUGUUGAAAGGGAAGCGCCUAUGACCAGACUUGUCUCUAUCAGUUUUGCUAGUUUUCGGACUGGUUUACUCUGUUAGUACAGGCCAGCAUCAGUUUGUUGUCGGGGAGAAAAGGCUUAGGGAAUGUGGCUCCUUCGGGAGUGUUAUAGCCCUUUGCAUAAUACCUUUCGACAGACUGAGGACCGCGCUUCGGCAAAGGAUGCUGGCGUAAUGGUCAUCAGCGACCCGUCUUGAAACACGGACCAAGGAGUCAACCUUAUGUGCGAGUGUUUGGGUGUAAAACCCCAGCGCGU